AUGUUGAGGAGGCUGGGUGCUGCUGAUGUUCCAGUCAGAGGGAGCAGAAGGCACUUGGUACCCAAACAAGUCUAUGCUGCUGUGGGCUACAUGUGUCCAGUGUUCCUCAAAAAAAAAAAAAAAAAAAAAAAAACCCCCCCCCCCCCCCCCCCCCCCCCCCCCCCCCCCCCCCCCCCCCCCCCCCCCCCCCCCCCCCAAAAAAAAAAAAAAAAAAGAAAAAAGAUCCAGCAGUAAUACAUACUAAUUUAUAUAAAUGCAUAUGGCUUCUCCACAUUGCAUUCUGGGGUAUUUUUAUUUUCAUCAUUGUCUUUGUAAUC
rnacentral:lncRNA from 1 species